AAAUUCAUGUCGAACUGUGAACUAGUGUUUGGAAUAAAAAAAUAAAUAAUGUCCUUUAAGAGGGAUGGUGAUGAUGUUGACCAGCUUGGGGUCUUAAGAAGAAGGAGGGUUAAAGAAUUAUUUACAGAAGACAUUCCAGAGGAUGAGGCUUUGCUGACAAGCAAUGGAAGGUAUGCAUGCCUAGUGUGUGCCAACAGACCUGUGUUUGAUACAGUCAUUGUAUUGUCACAACACAGACAAGGAAAGAAACAUCAGGCUUGUAUGAUUUUUUUAUUUCUUGAUUUUACUAGAAAGUGUGUCACAUUUAAAGACUAACAAAUUCAUGAUGUAAUCUAGAGCCUUUCCAGAUCUUAUUUUCAUCUAGACUUUGUGCAAUUCCAAGAGAAGAAAGAUGAGCUAGAUAUGCUGAUAAAGCAAAGAAAACAAGACCAGUAUUUGAAGGAUGGAACUACUGAUAUAAAGCAGGCCACAACAUCACAUAAAGGCCUGGGAUGCGGACACAGGUAUGACCCAAGGGUAAAGAAAAAGUUCCAGUCUCAGAAAACACGUGUAAGCCUGUCUGGUCCAUCUGAUGGUGAGACACCAUGUCAGAGCGAGGCUCAUACUGCUACUGAUAUUGCAUCACUUCCUGGAAACUCCCGUGUCAUAAUACCAUCACCAAAGGUUGCUGGAAUUUUGAAAAAGGAAUUCCCAAUAAAUGAGUCCAAAAUUGAAAAAUCUAAAGUUCCAUCCUGUUCCUCUGGUGAAUUCAAUACCAAUGAAAAAUUCAGGCAACACAUUAUGGGCCAGAAGGGCCCUUUUCUUCAUGAUAAACAAUUGAAAAAUAUUUUCUCAGGUCCAACAUCAAAUAGUUUUACUCCUAUGCCAUACAAGAGAAAAGCAGCAUAUGGGGAUGAUAUUCAGUGUAAAUCUAAACAAACAAAGGAGAGUUGUCAUAAUGCAAUAGACAAUAAUUCUAAACCUGGUUGUGCCUCUAAAACCUAUGAACAAAAUCACCAUGUGAAUGAAAUUGAUCUUACCUCAGUGUUCAAGUCGAAAAUAAAAAAGCCAACCACCCAAAAAAGCCAGGAGGACAAGAAAAGACUUCAAGAAAAACAAGAACUGGCUGACAAAUACCUAUACUACAGGGGUGGGGGAUGGAAGAAAAACUGGAAGGGAGAGUGGAUCAAGGAUGAAGAUGUGGAGUUUGACUCUGAUGAAGAACCACCAGAUCUUCCAUAGACUCACAUUUUGUAUAGAUGUUUUACUGGAUCAAACCCAAAAUAAAAUGUUUUA
rnacentral:misc_RNA from 1 species